CCUACGGGAGGCAGCAGUGAGGAAUAUUGGUCAAUGGGCGUAAGCCUGAACCAGCCAAGUCGCGUGAGGGAUGAAGGUUCUAUGGAUCGUAAACCUCUUUUAUAAGGGAAUAAAGUGUGGGUCGUGUCCUGUUUUGUAUGUACCUUAUGAAUAAGGAUCGGCUAACUCCGUGCCAGCAGCCGCGGUAAUACGGAGGAUACGAGCGUUAUCCGGAUUUAUUGGGUUUAAAGGGUGCGUAGGCGGCCUUUUAAGUCAGCGGUGAAAGUCUGUGGCUCAACCAUAGAAUUGCGGUUGAAACUGGGAGGCUUGAGUAUGUUUGAGGCAGGCGGAAUGCGUGGUGUAGCGGUGAAAUGCGUAGAUAUCACGCAGAACCCCGAUUGCGAAGGCAGCCUGCCAAGCCAUGACUGACGCUGAUGCACGAAAGCGUGGGGAUCAAACAGGAUUAGAUACCCGGGUAGUC
rnacentral:rRNA from 1 species